UACGUAGGCAGCAAGCGUUGUUCGGAGUUACUGGGCGUAAAGGGUGUGUAGGCGGUUCUUUUAAGUUUGCUGUGAAAUCUCCCGGCUUAACCGGGAGGGUGCGGUGAAUACUGAGGGACUAGAGUACGGGAGAGGAAAGUGGAAUUCCUGGUGUAGCGGUGAAAUGCGUAGAUAUCAGGAGGAACACCGGUGGUGUAGACGGCUUUCUGGACCGACACUGACGCUGAGACACGAAAGCGUGGGGGAGCAAACAGG
rnacentral:rRNA from 1 species